UACGGGGGGGGGCAAGCGUUGUCCGGAAUCAUUGGGCGUAAAGAGCUCGUAGGCGGCCACUCAAGUCGAAUGUGAAACCUCGAGGCUUAACCUCGAGCUUGCAUUUGAUACUGGGCGGCUAGAGUCCGGAAGAGGAAAGUGGAAUUCCUGGUGUAGCGGUGAAAUGCGCAGAUAUCAGGAGGAACACCUAUUGCGAAGGCAGCUCGCUGGGACGUAACUGACGCUGAGACGCGAAAGCGUGGGAGCAAACAGG
rnacentral:rRNA from 1 species